rnacentral:rRNA from 1 species
ACGGAGGGGGCUAGCGUUGUUCGGAAUUACUGGGCGUAAAGCGCACGUAGGCGGACUGUUAAGUCGGGGGUGAAAUCCUGGGGCUCAACCUCAGAAUUGCCUCCGAUACUGGCAGUCUCGAGUGCGGGAGAGGUGAGUGGAAUUCCCAGUGUAGAGGUGAAAUUCGUAGAUAUUGGGAAGAACACCAGUGGCGAAGGCGGCUCACUGGCCCGUAACUGACGCUGAGGUGCGAAAGCGUGGGGAGCAAACAGGA